rnacentral:rRNA from 1 species
GUGGGGAAUAUUGGACAAUGGGCGCAAGCCUGAUCCAGCCAUGCCGCGUGAGUGAUGAAGGCCUUAGGGUUGUAAAGCUCUUUCACCGAUGAAGAUAAUGACGGUAGUCGGAGAAGAAGCCACGGCUAACUUCGUGCCAGCAGCCGCGGUAAUACGAAGGGGGCUAGCGUUGUUCGGAUUUACUGGGCGUAAAGCGCACGUAGGCGGUUUGUUAAGUCAGGGGUGAAAUCCCGGAGCUCAACUCCGGAACUGCCUUUGAUACUGGCAAGCUAGAGUCCGGAAGAGGUAAGUGGAACUCCUGGUGUAGAGGUGGAAUUCGUAGAUAUUAGGAAGAACACCAGUGGCGAAGGCGGCUUACUGGUCCGGAACUGACGCUGAGGUGCGAAAGCGUGGGGAGCAAACAGGAUUAGAAACCCUUGUAGUCC